GCCCACCACUUGGGGAUAACCUUGCGAAAGUAAGACUAAUACCCAAUGACGUCUCUAGAAGACAUCUGAAGGAGAUUAAAGAUUUAUCGGUGAUGGAUGGGGAUGCGUCUGAUUAGCUUGUUGGCGGGGUAACGGCCCACCAAGGCGACGAUCAGUAGGGGUUCUGAGAGGAAGGUCCCCCACAUUGGAACUGAGACACGGUCCAAACUCCUACGGGAGGCAGCAGUGAGGAAUAUUGGCCAAUGGACGAGAGUCUGAACCAGCCAAGUAGCGUGCAGGAUGACGGCCCUAUGGGUUGUAAACUGCUUUUAUAAGGGAAUAAAGUGAGUCUCGUGAGACUUUUUGCAUGUACCUUAUGAAUAAGGACCGGCUAAUUCCGUGCCAGCAGCCGCGGUAAUACGGAAGGUCCGGGCGUUAUCCGGAUUUAUUGGGUUUAAAGGGAGCGUAGGCCGGAGAUUAAACGUGUUGUGAAAUGUAGACGCUCAACGUCUGCACUGCAGCGCGAACUGGUUUCCUUGAGUACGCACAAAGUGGGCGGAAUUCGUGGUGUAGCGGUGAAAUGCUUAGAUAUCACGAAGAACUCCGAUUGCGAAGGCAGCUCACUGGAGCGCAACUGACGCUGAAGCUCGAAAGUGCGGGUAUCGAACAGGAUUAGAU
rnacentral:rRNA from 2 species